GAUGAACGCUGGCGGCGUGCCUAAUACAUGCCAGUCGAGCGAACGGACGAGAAGCUUGCUUUUCUGAUGUUAGCGGCGGACGGGUGAGUAACACGUGGAUAACCUACCCAUAAGACUGGGAUAACUUCGGGAAACCGGAGCUAAUACCGGAUAAUAUUUUGAACCGCAUGGUUCAAAAGUGAAAGACGGUCUUGCUGUCACUUAUAGAUGGAUCCGCGCUGCAUUAGCUAGUUGGUAAGGUAACGGCUUACCAAGGCAACGAUGCAUAGCCGACCUGAGAGGGUGAUCGGCCACACUGGAACUGAGACACGGUCCAGACUCCUACGGGAGGCAGCAGUAGGGAAUCUUCCGCAAUGGGCGAAAGCCUGACGGAGCAACGCCGCGUGAGUGAUGAAGGUCUUCGGAUCGUAAAACUCUGUUAUUAGGGAAGAACAUAUGUGUAAGUAACUGUGCACAUCUUGACGGUACCUAAUCAGAAAGCCACGGCUAACUACGUG
rnacentral:rRNA from 1 species